rnacentral:rRNA from 1 species
UUUAAAUUUAGAGUUUGAUCCUGGCUCAGGACGAACGCUGGCGGCGUGCUUAACACAUGCAAGUCGAGCGAUGAAGCUUCCUUCGGGAAGUGAAUUAGCGGCGGACGGGUGAGUAACACGUGGGUAACCUGCCUCAAAGUGGGGGAUAGCCUUCCGAAAGGAAGAUUAAUACCGCAUAAUAUAGGAGAAUCGCAUGAUUUUCUUAUCAAAGAUUUAUUGC